rnacentral:rRNA from 1 species
CAGUAGCCGCGGGAAUACGGAGGGGGCUAGCGUUGUUCGGAAUUACUGGGCGUAAAGCGCACGUAGGCGGCUUUGUAAGUUAGAGGUGAAAGCCUGGGGCUCAACUCCAGGAUUGCCUUUAAGACUGCAUCGCUUGAACGUCGGAGAGGUGAGUGGAAUUCCGAGUGUAGAGGUGAAAUUCGUAGAUAUUCGGAGGAACACCAGUGGCGAAGGCGGCUCACUGGCUCGAUACUGACGCUGAGGUGCGAAAGCGUGGGGAGCAAACAGGAUUAGAUACCCCUGUAGUCCUGUCUCUUAUACA